rnacentral:rRNA from 1 species
CCUACGGGGGGCUGCAGUCGAGAAUAGUCUACAAUGGACGAAAGUCUGAUAGUGCGACGCCGCGUGAACGAAGAAUCCCUUCGGGGUGUAAAGUUCUUUUAUAUGUGAGCAAUGCUUUUUAUGUGAAUAGCAUGAGAAGAGAGAUAUUAGCAUAUGAAUAAGCAACGGCUAACUCCGUGCCAGCAGCCGCGGUAACACGGGGGUUGCAAGCGUUGUCCGGAAUUACUAGGCGUAAAGGGCAGGUAGGCGGAUCCAUAAGUUUGAUGUUAAAGGCAGCGGCUCACCCGCUGUAGGGCAUUAGAUACUGUGGAUCUGGAAUACGGUUGGGGAAGACAGAAUUCCUGGUGUAGCGGUGGAAUGCGCAGAGAUCAGGAGGAAUACCAAAGGCGAAGGCAGUCUUCUAAGCCGUUAUUGACGCUAAACUGCGAAGGUGUGGGUAUCAAACAGGAUUAGAUACCCCAGUAGUC